AUUAUGAUUAGGUUCUAAUUUAAAUUUUUCAUUGUUGAAUUUACUGCAAAAAUAAUUUUAUUGAGUACGUAUACUGAUACCUACCUAAUAACAAAUUAUCUUCCUUUUUAAAUAAACCAAAAUAUUAUAGCAAAUUUAUUUACCCAAAAUAUAGGUUUAAAUGUUCUAAUAAAUUCGACUGGGUUAAGUUCGAUAUAAUUUUAAAGUCAAUUUUAUUUACUGUUUUUGUUUAUAGUAGCUUUAAUGAAAUGUACUUACUAGUUUACCUUUAAUUCGUAGGUAGGUAUUUGUACAUUAUUUAACAGUAAUUUUA